rnacentral:tRNA from 3 species
GCACUCGUAGCUCAGCUGGAUAGAGCGCUGCCCUCCGAAGGCAGAGGUCACAGGUUCGAAUCCUGUCGAGUGCGCCA